rnacentral:sRNA from 1 species
CCCUAGCCCUGAUAGAAGCGGUAUCCUUUUUAGGCUAUUGAAAAGAUCUUGUUUACCAUAAACAAUCUGCCUAAAAAGAUAUAGCGGAUAGCAGGAAAUAGC